rnacentral:lncRNA from 1 species
UGGAGGCCGAGGGACCCGUGUUGGAGAGGCUGAGAGAGCUGACUCAGAAUCCUGUAGGAGCUGAUUUAAACCUGGGUGUGGCCUACGCCUAUAGCCAAUGGCAGUGCUGCCUGAGGGAGGGCCUUAACCUGAACCAACUGCUGUGCUUCCCUCUAACUGAGCCUCAGUGUGCCUGGCUGUACAGGGGCACUCUGGUGCACCAGCUUGUGGACCAACUGAGACGGGGGGGGUGAACCCGGAUUCUCUUCUGAUGGAAGUCCUUUCCUCUAUGGAGCUUUACCAAGUCAUGCUGGAUAACCUGAAGGAUUGUUAUGAAGGUACUGGAAGAAAGGAGGAGGCCAAUGAAGAGGGUUGGACGCAAGUCAGGAGGUAGGAAGAGGUAGGGGUGGGAAUAGGCACCACUACGUACAGUACAAGUCAAAAGUUUGGACACACCUGCUCAUUGAAGGGUUUUUCUUUAUUUUUACUACUUUCUACAUUGUAGAAUAAUAGUGCAGACAUCAAAACAAUGAAAUAACACAUAUGGAAUCAUGUAGUAACCAAUUCUUUUUUAAACAAAUCAAAAUAUAUUUUAUAUUUGCGAUUCUUCAAAGUAGCCACCCUUUGCCUUGAUGACACUAACAAAAUGUCCCCAGUUGGUGUUUUAUUUUGUUUACUAUUGUUGUGGGGACUUCUGGUUCCCAUAAGUAUAGUUAAACACGUUCACACGCAGACACACCGACACACACCACACACACACACCACACACACACACCACACACACACACCACACACACACACCACACACACAGACACACACACAGACACACACCACAUGCACCAGACACACAGUGCAAAAGAAGAGUCAGCUAGCCUCUGCUCUCAUUGCUGCAUGAUGAAAGUGGCCCAAGCCUCUGAGAAGUCUGCUAAUGAUAACGAUGUGGAGGCUCUCUCUCUCUCUCUCUAUCUCCCUCUCUUGCUCUCUCAGUCCCAGCUCAGGUAUAUCCCAGCCCCCAAGGCUCUCAGUCCCAGCUCAGGUAUAUCCCAGCCCCUAGGCUCUCAGCCCCAGCUCAGGUAUAUCCCAGCCCCCCCAGCCCCCAAGGCUCUCAGUCCCAGCUCAGGUAUAUCCCAGCCCCUAGGCUCUCAGUCCCAGCUCAGGUAUAUCCCAGCCCCCCAGCCCCUAGGCUCUCAGUCCCAGCUCAGGUAUAUCCCAGUCCCCCAGCCCCUAGACUCUCAGUCCCAGCUCAGGUAUAUCCCAGCCCCCCAGCCCCUAGACUCUCAGUCCCAGCUCAGGUAUAUCCCAGCCCCUAGACUCUCAGUCCCAGCUCAGGUAUAUCCCAGCCCCCCAGCCCCUAGACUCUCAGUCCCAGCUCAGGUAUAUCCCAGCCCCCAAGGCUCUCAGUCCCAGCUCAGGUAUAUCCCAGCCCCCAAGGCUCUCAGUCCCAGCUCAGGUAUAUCCCAGCCCCCUAGGCUCUCAGUCCCAGCUCAGGUAUAUCCUAGACCCCCAGUCCCAGCACAGGUAUAUCCCAGCCGCCCCUUAGUCCCCCCGUCCCAGCUCAGGUAUAUCCUAGACCCCCAGUCCCAGCUCAGGUAUAUCCCAGCCCCCUAGGCUCUCAUCCCCUCUUUCAGGUAUACAUCAAUAAGCUACAUGGGAGGCCGACUCAGAGUGGAGGGGAGCUCGAAUAGCAGGGCUUAGCAUAGACUCUAUGCGUCCUAAAUGGCACCCCAUUCCCAUUGGGAGUCACCCUUAGACUCUCUUCCCAACAACCCCUGAGAGAUCUGUUACCACCAUGCCCCACUACUUGCUUCCCGCCUGCCUCUCUCUCCAGCUCUCUUUAUCUUGCUCCCUCCUCUCUCUCACACCAUCACUCUCUUCUCUCUCUCAAUUAAAUUCAGUUCAAUUCAAGGGGCUUUAUUGGCAUGGGAAUCAUAUGUUAACAUUGCCAAAGGAAGUGAGGUAGAUAAUAUACAAAAGUGAAAUAAACAAUAAAAAGGAACAGUAAAUAUUACACUCACAGAAGUUCCAAAAGAAUAAAGACAUUCAAAAUGUCAUAUUAUGUCUAUAUACAGUGUUGUAACGAUGUGCAAAUGGUUAAAGUACAAAGGGGAAAAUAAAUAAACAUAAAUAUGGGUUGUAUUUACAAUGGUGUUUGUUCUUCACUGGUUGCCCUUUUCUUGUGGAAACAGGUCACACUUAUUGCUGCUGUGAUGGAACACAGUGGUAUUUCACCCAGUAGAUUUGUGAGUUUAUCAAAAUUGGGUUUGUUUUCGAGUUAUUUGUGGAUCUGUGUAAUCUGAGGGAAAUAUGUGUCUCUAAUAUGGUCAUACAUUUGGCAGGAGGUUAGGAAGUGCAGCUCAGUUUCCAUCUCAUUUUGUGGGCAGUGUGCACAUAGCCUGUCUUUUCUUGAGAGCCAGGCAGCCUUUCUCAAUAGCAAGGCUAUGCUCACUGAGUCUGUACAUAGUCAAAGCGUUCCUUAAGUUUGGGUCAGUCACAGUGGUCAUGUAUUCUGCCACUGUGUACUCUCUGUUUAGGGCCAAAUAGCAUUCUAGUUUGCUCAG